rnacentral:rRNA from 1 species
AGAGUUUGAUUUUGGCUCAGGAUGAACGCUGGCGGCGUGCCUAAUACAUGCAAGUCGAACGCACCGCUUCGGUGGUGAGUGGCGAACGGGUGAGUAAUACAUAAGUAACCUGGCCUUUCGAGGGGGAUAACUAUUGGAAACGAUAGCUAAGACCGCAUAGGCAUAAUUCUCGCAUGAGAGUUAUGUUAAAUAUCCCAAGGGAUAGCGAGAGGAUGGACUUAUGGCGCAUUAGCUAGUUGGUGAGGGUAACGGCCCACCAAGGCGACGAUGCGUAGCCGACCUGAGAGGGUGGACGGCCACACUGGGACUGAGACACGGCCCAGACUCCUACGGGAGGCAGCAGUAGGGAAUUUUCGGCAAUGGGCGAAAGCCUGACCGAGCAACGCCGCGUGAGGGAGGAAGUAUUUCGGUAUGUAAACCUCUGUUAUAAAGGAAGAACGGCGCAUGUAGGGAAUGACAUGCGAGUGACGGUACUUUAUGAGAAAGCCACGGCUAACUACGUGCCAGCAGCCGCGGUAAUACGUAGGUGGCGAGCGUUAUCCGGAAUCAUUGGGCGUAAAGAGGGAGCAGGCGGCAACUAGGGUCUGCGGUAAAAGACCGAAGCUAAACUUCGGUAAGCCGUGGAAACCGAGGAGCUAGAGUGCAGUAGAGGAUCGUGGAAUUCCAUGUGUAGCGGUGAAAUGCGUAGAUAUAUGGAGGAACACCAGUGGCGAAGGCGACGAUCUGGGCUGCAACUGACGCUCAGUCCCGAAAGCGUGGGGAGCAAAUAGGAUUAGAUACCCUAGUAGUCCACGCCGUAAACG